UACAGAGGUCUCGAGCGUUGUUCGGAUUCAUUGGGCGUAAAGGGUGCGUAGGUGGCGCUGUAAGUCGGGUGUGAAAUCCUGGGGCUUAACCCCGGAACUGCAUUCGAUACUGCAGUGCUUGAGGACUGGAGAGGAGACUGGAAUUCAUGGUGUAGCAGUGAAAUGCGUAGAGAUCAUGAGGAAGACCAGUGGCGAAGGCGGGUCUCUGGACAGUUCCUGACACUGAGGCACGAAGGCCAGGGAGCAAACGGG
rnacentral:rRNA from 1 species